rnacentral:rRNA from 1 species
AGAGUUUGAUCAUGGCUCAGAUUGAACGCUGGCGGCAGGCCUAACACAUGCAAGUCGAGCGGUAACACAGGGAGCUUGCUCCUGGGUGACGAGCGGCGGACGGGUGAGUAAUGUCUGGGAAACUGCCUGAUGGAGGGGGAUAACUACUGGAAACGGUAGCUAAUACCGCAUAACGUCGCAAGACCAAAGAGGGGGACCUUCGGGCCUCUUGCCAUCAGAUGUGCCCAGAUGGGAUUAGCUAGUAGGUGGGGUAACGGCUCACCUAGGCGACGAUCCCUAGCUGGUCUGAGAGGAUGACCAGCCACACUGGAACUGAGACACGGUCCAGACUCCUACGGGAGGCAGCAGUGGGGAAUAUUGCACAAUGGGCGCAAGCCUGAUGCAGCCAUGCCGCGUGUAUGAAGAAGGCCUUCGGGUUGUAAAGUACUUUCAGCGGGGAGGAAGGCGAUAAGGUUAAUAACCUUGUCGAUUGACGUUACCCGCAGAAGAAGCACCGGCUAACUCCGUGCCAGCAGCCGCGGUAAUAC